rnacentral:tRNA from 1 species
GGGAAAGUGGCUCAGUGGUAGAGCGCUUGCUUUGCAUGCAUGAGGCCCCAGGUUCGAUUCCUCAGCACCA